GACGAACGCUGGCGGCGUGCUUAACACAUGCAAGUCGAACGGAAAGGCCCUGCUUUUGUGGGGUGCUCGAGUGGCGAACGGGUGAGUAACACGGGAGUAACCUGCCCUUGACUUUGGGAUAACUUCAGGAAACUGGUGCUAAUACCGGAUAGGAGCUCCUGCUGCAUGGUGGGGGUUGGAAAGUUUCGGCGGUUGGGGAUGGACUCGCGGCUUAUCAGCUUGUUGGUGGGGUAGUGGCUUACCAAGGCUUUGACGGGUAGCCGGCCUGAGAGGGUGACCGGCCACAUUGGGACUGAGAUACGGACCAGACUCCUACGGGAGGCAGAAGUGGGGAAUAUUGCACAAUGGGCGGAAGCCUGAUGAAGAAACGCCGCGUGCGGGAUGAAGGCCUUCGGGUUGUAAACCGCUUUCGCCUGUGACGAAGCGUGAGUGACGGUAAUGGGUAAAGAAGCACCGGCUAACUACGUG
rnacentral:rRNA from 1 species